GGACUGCAACCGGCAGUUCCAGUUCGAGGAAGGCGACGAUGACCCGUUCUCAACAAUUUCGGUUUUAGGGGCAGUUUAGUUUAACUGUAACUGUUAGCGGAUAGUUAUUACUUUUAACUGAUAGUUAUAGCUGGUAGUGAUUUACAUUAAGUGUUUAGUGGAAUUAUAUUUAACUGCUGCUGUUAAUAUGUGAAUGACUAAUAAGGG
rnacentral:misc_RNA from 1 species